UGGACAGAAGAAUGGGCCAUUUCAUUCCUUGUUUCGUCUCAAAAAGAUUCUUCAAUUUUAAUUGUUCAGUCAUAUUCAGUUUAUGAUUUAUAGGACAUCAGUGUGAUACUUCCAUGUGUACACACACUUUUAUUCAUUCCUUUCCACCUUUGCCAGUAUCAUUUUACAUUCCCGUUUCCCUGGCACUCAGUGAUGCAGCAUUUCCUGUUCCCCAACCAUCAAUGAGGAAGAAGUCAUUGGAAAUGCUGGGUAUCCACAGUCUCCUUGCCGAGACUGAUCUGACCUUGAAAUAACAAGCAUCACUGGGAAAGAACACAUCUGACACAAUGGAACUCGAAAGAAGAAAUUAAGGAAGGAAGGGAGGAAUGAAAGAAAGAAGGAAAAAUAAAAAGAGAAAAUCAAGCUUA